rfam:Nitrospirae bacterium HCH-1 contig051, whole genome shotgun sequence.
UAACUUAGCCUGAAGUAAACUGCCUUAUAAGCAGUAGGUUGGGGGUUCGAGUCCCUC